rnacentral:rRNA from 1 species
UACGUAGGGUGCGAGCGUUGUCCGGAAUUACUGGGCGUAAAGAGCUCGUAGGUGGUUUGUCGCGUUGUUCGUGAAAACUCACAGCUUAACUGUGGGCGUGCGGGCGAUACGGGCAGACUGGAGUACUGCAGGGGAGACUGGAAUUCCUGGUGUAGCGGUGGAAUGCGCAGAUAUCGGGAGGAACACCGGUGGCGAAGGCGGCGACCUGGGUAGAUACUGACGCUGAGGCGCGAAAGCGUGGGGAGCAAACAGG